AGAGCGAACGCUGGCGGCAGGCUUAACACAUGCAAGUCGAGCGGGCGUAGCAAUACGUCAGCGGCAGACGGGUGAGUAACGCGUGGGAACGUACCUUUUGGUUCGGAACAACACAGGGAAACUUGUGCUAAUACCGGAUAAGCCCUUACGGGGAAAGAUUUAUCGCCGAAAGAUCGGCCCGCGUCUGAUUAGCUAGUUGGUGAGGUAAUGGCUCACCAAGGCGACGAUCAGUAGCUGGUCUGAGAGGAUGAUCAGCCACAUUGGGACUGAGACACGGCCCAAACUCCUACGGGAGGCAGCAGUGGGGAAUAUUGGACAAUGGGGGCAACCCUGAUCCAGCCAUGCCGCGUGAGUGAUGAAGGCCCUAGGGUUGUAAAGCUCUUUUGUGCGGGAAGAUAAUGAC
rnacentral:rRNA from 1 species